rnacentral:rRNA from 1 species
UACGAAGGGGGCUAGCGUUGCUCGGAAUUACUGGGCGUAAAGCGCACGUAGGCGGAUUGUUAAGUCGGGGGUGAAAUCCUGGAGCUCAACUCCAGAACUGCCUUCGAAACUGGCGAUCUUGAGUCCGGGAGAGGUGAGUGGAACUGCGAGUGUAGAGGUGAAAUUCGUAGAUAUUCGGAGGAACACCAGUGGCGAAGGCGGCUCACUGGUCCGGUACUGACGCUGAGGUGCGAAAGCGUGGGGAGCAAACAGG